rnacentral:lncRNA from 1 species
AGCCUCCUGAGUAGCUGGGACUACAGGCGCCUUGCCACUAUGCCCGGCUAAUUUUUUUUGUAUUUUUAGUAGAGAUGGGGUUUCAGCGUGUUAGCCACGAUGGUCUCGAUCUCCUGACCUCCUGAUCCGCCCGCCUCGGUCUCCCAAAUGCUGGGAUUACAAGCAUGAGCCACAGCACCGGGCCUUGGACUUAAUUUUUUUAAUAUUAAUUAGUGUAACUUUUUCAGAGUCUGUGUCUUGUGCUGUGGUUUGUUUGUGAUAAAUGUCCAGAUUUAUUGUUUCUCUGGGCACCCUUGGAAGAUAGAUAAUCCUUUGUCUUCUGGCAUCUGCAUAACUGGUGAGUAACCUGCUUUCAGCCUUUUAUACUCUAAAUGUUCCCUCUGCUAGCUUUUAAUUUUUCUCUUCAUUUUCUAUAUUCUGCAUUUUCACUACAGUGUUGCUAAAUUUGAAUUAUUACUUACCUAUAUUUCUUGGAAAUCAGAAGUCGUUCGGUUAGUUGUUCUUUGUUGAAAGACAUCUUUAUUUCCAGGAAAAUCUCAGCUAUGUCUCUCUCAUUUUUUUUAACAUGGAACUCUAAAUAGAUACAAACUGAAGUGUCUCAACUUACCUUCUAUGUCUUGAACUGCCCUGUAAUGUGUUUACGUUUGCAUUUCUUUGUUGCAUUCUGGGAAUGUCUCAUGUAUCUGUUGCAGUAUUUCAAUUUAUUACCUUAACUAUGACAAGUACAGAUAUUUGGCUUAUGUAGUAAUUUUUUUUAGUUCUCAGAACUAUGUUUUUUUAGUUCAAAGAUUUCUAAUUAUUUCUUAUGAAGACAUUUUUGGUUGUUUUAUUUCUGCCUUUUUUAGGGUCACAAUCUCUUGAGGUUUUCUUGAUAUUAUUCUUGAAUUAAUCUUUUUGAUGUCUUAGAUAUGCUUAUUUUAUAAGUCUUUCUCAAACUAUUCCAUUAAAUUGUUUCAUCUGGAAUGUUGUCAUGUACCUGAUGCUGAUUUUGUCAACUACUUGUUUUGGUAGUAAUUUUUAUUUGCCUGUGUUCUGAGGCCAGUGUUUUCAGACUGCUGGCAAUUGGGUGGACAUUUUUUCUUUUGCUCAAUUACCCUCUGUGUUUAUGCAUACCUCUUUAGCAGCUUCCUGUUUCACUGUUCCUAGUCUAGAAUCAAUUCUUAGAAUGAUAUGCUGGGUUUCCAUGGAAAUAAAAACAAUAACUAACAGUAAUUGAGUGCUUCAGAGGGCCAGGUUACCUUGUAAGUGAUUUAUCUGUAUUAACACAUUCCAGUCUUACAUGUAACUCUCUGAGAUAGGCAGGAAUUUUAUUUCCAUUUUACAGAUAAGAAACGAAAAGUGCACUUUAAUCCCAGCACUUUGGAAGGCCAAGGCAGAAGGAUUGCUUAAGGCCAGGAGUUUGAAACCAGCCUAGGCAACAUAGUGAGACCCCACCUGUACAAAAAAAAUUUAAAAAUGAAAUGGGCAUGAUGGCAUGCAUCUGUAGUCCCAGCUACUUGGAAGGCUGAGGCAGGAGGAGGAUCACUGGGCCCCAGAGUUACAGUGACCUAUGAUUAUACCACUGUACUCCAGUCUGGGUCACAGAGUGAGACCCUGUCUGAAAAGAAAAGAAAAGAAGAGAAAAAAAGAAGAGAAAAGCAAAAAAGAAAGAGAAGAGAAGGAAAAGAGAAAAGAAAAGAAAAAAGAAAAGAAAAGAAGGAAAAGAAAAGAAAAGAAAAGAGAAAAGUAUAAGUAAUCUCCCAAAUGUCAAAAGAUGGGGUGGUGUCUCACUAUGUUGCCCAGACUGUUUUCUAACCCUGGCCUCAAGCAAAUUUCCCACCUCCUUCUCCCAAAAUGCUGGGAUUACAAGUGUGAGCCACUGUACCCAGCCUACUUAGGAGGACAUUUACUAUUCACUUACUGAUUUGCAUCAAAUUAUUGAUUGGUGGUGUUUCAGAAGGUGGAAGCUCUGCCAGCCCCACAUACAGCCUGAGUGAGACAUGCCAUUCAUUUGUUAAGCAGCUGAGGGUUUGUAACUGCUUGUGACUGCGGCAUGUCCAAGAAUGUUUUGUCUGAUGCACGACAAUGAGUGAAUAUAUAAUGAUUCAACAAGAGCCAUAGAGUUUUAAAAUGUGUUACAUUUUAUAGGAAAUACAGUUACUUAGACUUAUAAAAACAAGAUAUUCUCAGAAUAUUUUUCAUACUGAUUUACCUCUACUUGUCUUACUGGUGUCUAUGAGCUCAACUCAAGAUUUCCAAUCAAAUAACAACGAUAUGGAUUCACCUGGUGGCCAAGCAACAAUGUAAGAUAUUUAGAGUAGAGUCCUCAGAACAUUUUGCUGUGUUUGAAGAUGCUCAGGGUAAGUUAUAGUAUUCUGAGUUUUGUAUUUCACUACAACAAAUGCUUGUCUUUAUUUUCUUUCUUUUUUUUCAAGACGAGGACAGAAGAGAUUGAGAAUCAUGGUUAAAAGAGAAAAAACAAAACUCACUUGGGCCGUCUUUAAAUGUAUACAGAUAGGUGUUUGGUAGGCCCUAGCAUGCUUAAACUUAGGUUUCAGUAUGCAUGGGCCUUCCAGGAAACUGGCUGGGAAGACACACAAGAAAUUUAUAUCCUGUAAGGGACUGAGGCCAGAGAGAGAGGGGCUCAGCACAGCUGGUAUCAGAGCCAUGCUAUAACACUGGGUGCUGCCAAAGAAAGACACUAUGGAACAUGAUGCAAAUGCUGUUUCAUGAAGGCACACAACACCAUCUACAUGCAGGUACUAAAGCAAUGGAAACAGCACAGCACCCUCCUUCUCAGGAACCACUGCACUGAUCACUCCUUGUGCAUGACUAAGCAGCCUCACUCAGCAGGGCUUGGCAGGGGAGUCUGCCAGAUGUCGUAAAGCUCAGAAACAGAAAAAUGAUGAGAGAGGAUGGGAUGCCCAGGAACAUAGUCACUGCCCCUUGGGAGCAGGAGCACCUCGUGGAAGUGGCAGCUCUGCCCCGAGAAGUGGGCAAGUUGGAGCCUGAGUCUAGCAGGGUUUUGGGCCUUUUGCAGAGGUCUGGCCUCUACAUGCGGGUGUUGCUGAAAAGUUAGAGGAACUUUUCUGGAGUCGUGAGUGCAUGUUGGGGCAAAACUCAGUAGAAUUUGAGUGAUUAUUUCAAACACAAAUACAAUUCUACCCACAAAUAGGUGAAGCCAAGAGAAACUGGCCAUUUAUGGGUCUAUGCAACUACAUUUAACUUAUACACACAUAUAGAAUUAGUAUUGAUGUUAAGGGUAGAAAUGCUGACAGAGCGGUGACCAUGUGUAAAUUAGGAAAUAAGAAAUAUUAAGGCAUUGUUGUUUCAGAAAGUUCAAACUAUCCAUAUAAAUGAGUAAAAUCUGAUUAUCAGUUAACUAGCUGCUAUGCAAGAUGCAUAUAUUAUCAUAAAAGCAAAAUAAUAUUUCAAUGAUUUAUAAAAAUAAGAGAAACUAACACAUCUGGAUAAAGAAUCCAAUUAUGCCUAUCUAAAGCAACUAUCCCCAACAGAUCAAACUGUUUUGCAAUCUUAUCUCUCAUGACUAUGAUUGUAAUUUAUAUUAAAACAACUAUUGAGGCCAAAAAUAACUCAGAGCUAAAUUGUUCAAAUAGCUAUGUUAAAAGGCAUCUCACUUUUGUCAUUUCAGUACAAAUGGGAUUCUCAUUGGGAACAUAGAAAGUUAGUUUGCUAGGAUGACUAUUGAAACCUUAAGGUGAAAAAGCUUGCUCUUACUGAGAAAAUCCCAUCAUGAGUUGUGGGAUUCAAUUCAAACGAGACACAAAGGAUAAAGAAACACUAAGAAAAUAUGCAUAAAAAAGACAUAUAUUAAAAUGAAAAUCUGUUGAGUCAUAACUGUAACACAUCUUUAGAGGUGGCAGCUUUACAAUCAAAUAAAUAAUAUUUUGACACUUUCCAUAACAUUAUGUUUAAUCUCCUUUCAAUUACAUCCAUCUGACCGUCUUUCCAGGUACUUUGAAUCACAAUUCACGUGUCAGAACUUUAUUUUGUUCUAAAGAAUGAAUUUCAAGAAAAAAAAUCCUUAUGUUUCAUUCGUAUAUCAUGAAAUGGGCAUUCAACACUUUUCUUGAUUUGUAUGGUUAGCUGAAAUGGAUAAAUCAGACACAUAUGAUACUGGUCCAAUUAAAGUGAAUGUGCACAAACUACCUUUUAAAGUUUUGGGUAGUCAUUAUAAAUUGAUCUGGAUGUUAAAAUUCACUCAAAAAUUUCAAAGAAUUUCUUGUGAAUCAAAAAUAUCUUGAAAGUCAAAAGAUUAGGAGAAAUACAUUUACUGUGAUUUAAAAGAACACUCGAUCCAUUUUUAAAAUAUUUAGUAAUAUAUAAUUUAUUAUUUCACUCAUCUGUCUCAGUAUAAGGAAUUUGGUGACAUUUCUAUUUAUGCUUUUAGAGGAAACAUCUGAUUCUAAGGUUCAAAGCGUGAGACUGUAAGGCUUUUACAAACACAGAAAUUAAUGAGGAAGGUCACCAUGCAGUCUAUAACUAUCACAGACAUUUUUUAAUGCAACAAUUUACUGGAUUAGCUAUCAGAAAGUCAAGGAGGUGAUUCACUACCAUACAUGAAAAUAAAGUAUAAAAUACUGGUUUUGACAGUGCAACUACACUUUUAUAGCUGUUUUGUCAGUUUCUCACAAAUUUCCUCAAAUGGACAUAUCAUUACUUGAAUAGUAAUCAGCAAUUUAUUUUCAGGGGUUUUUUUGCAAUAAAAAGAAAUGCCUUCACUCAUAAAACAUAAUGAAGAGAAAGGCACUUUAUUUAAGAAUAGAGGAAUGCAUUAUGCCUCUUGAAUAUAUAGUACAUUAUUUAUAAUCUACUGCUGCAGUUACUGUUGUAUAUCCU